CCGGCGAUUUCCGAAUGGGGAAACCCAGUGUGUUUCGACACACUAUCAUUAACUGAAUCCAUAGGUUAAUGAGGCGAACCGGGGGAACUGAAACAUCUAAGUACCCCGAGGAAAAGAAAUCAACCGAGAUUCCCCCAGUAGCGGCGAGCGAACGGGGAGGAGCCCAGAGCCUGAAUCAGUGUGUGUGUUAGUGGAAGCGUCUGGAAAGGCGCGCGAUACAGGGUGACAGCCCCGUACACAAAAAUGCACAUAUUGUGAGCUCGAUGAGUAGGGCGGGACACGUGGUAUCCUGUCUGAAUAUGGGGGGACCAUCCUCCAAGGCUAAAUACUCCUGACUGACCGAUAGUGAACCAGUACCGUGAGGGAAAGGCGAAAAGAACCCCGGCGAGGGGAGUGAAAAAGAACCUGAAACCGUGUACGUACAAGCAGUGGGAGCCUCUUUAUGGGGUGACUGCGUACCUUUUGUAUAAUGGGUCAGCGACUUAUAUUCUGUAGCAAGGUUAACCGAAUAGGGGAGCCGAAGGGAAACCGAGUCUUAACUGGGCGUUAAGUUGCAGGGUAUAGACCCGAAACCCGGUGAUCUAGCCAUGGGCAGGUUGAAGGUUGGGUAACACUAACUGGAGGACCGAACCGACUAAUGUUGAAAAAUUAGCGGAUGACUUGUGGCUGGGGGUGAAAGGCCAAUCAAACCGGGAGAUAGCUGGUUCUCCCCGAAAGCUAUUUAGGUAGCGCCUCGUGAAUUCAUCUCCGGGGGUAGAGCACUGUUUCGGCAAGGGGGUCAUCCCGACUUACCAACCCGAUGCAAACUGCGAAUACCGGAGAAUGUUAUCACGGGAGACACACGGCGGGUGCUAACGUCCGUCGUGAAGAGGGAAACAACCCAGACCGCCAGCUAAGGUCCCAAAGUCAUGGUUAAGUGGGAAACGAUGUGGGAAGGCCCAGACAGCCAGGAUGUUGGCUUAGAAGCAGCCAUCAUUUAAAGAAAGCGUAAUAGCUCACUGGUCGAGUCGGCCUGCGCGGAAGAUGUAACGGGGCUAAACCAUGCACCGAAGCUGCGGCAGCGACACUAUGUGUUGUUGGGUAGGGGAGCGUUCUGUAAGCCUGUGAAGGUGGCCUGUGAGGGUUGCUGGAGGUAUCAGAAGUGCGAAUGCUGACAUAAGUAACGAUAAAGCGGGUGAAAAGCCCGCUCGCCGGAAGACCAAGGGUUCCUGUCCAACGUUAAUCGGGGCAGGGUGAGUCGACCCCUAAGGCGAGGCCGAAAGGCGUAGUCGAUGGGAAACAGGUUAAUAUUCCUGUACUUGGUGUUACUGCGAAGGGGGGACGGAGAAGGCUAUGUUGGCCGGGCGACGGUUGUCCCGGUUUAAGCGUGUAGGCUGGUUUUCCAGGCAAAUCCGGAAAACCAAGGCUGAGGCGUGAUGACGAGGCACUACGGUGCUGAAGCGACAAAUGCCCUGCUUCCAGGAAAAGCCUCUAAGCAUCAGGUAACAUCAAAUCGUACCCCAAACCGACACAGGUGGUCAGGUAGAGAAUACCAAGGCGCUUGAGAGAACUCGGGUGAAGGAACUAGGCAAAAUGGUGCCGUAACUUCGGGAGAAGGCACGCUGAUAUGUAGGUGAAGCGACUUGCUCGUGGAGCUGAAAUCAGUCGAAGAUACCAGCUGGCUGCAACUGUUUAUUAAAAACACAGCACUGUGCAAACACGAAAGUGGACGUAUACGGUGUGACGCCUGCCCGGUGCCGGAAGGUUAAUUGAUGGGGUUAGCGGUAACGCGAAGCUCUUGAUCGAAGCCCCGGUAAACGGCGGCCGUAACUAUAACGGUCCUAAGGUAGCGAAAUUCCUUGUCGGGUAAGUUCCGACCUGCACGAAUGGCGUAAUGAUGGCCAGGCUGUCUCCACCCGAGACUCAGUGAAAUUGAACUCGCUGUGAAGAUGCAGUGUACCCGCGGCAAGACGGAAAGACCCCGUGAACCUUUACUAUAGCUUGACACUGAACAUUGAGCCUUGAUGUGUAGGAUAGGUGGGAGGCUUUGAAGUGUGGACGCCAGUCUGCAUGGAGCCGACCUUGAAAUACCACCCUUUAAUGUUUGAUGUUCUAACGUUGGCCCGUAAUCCGGGUUGCGGACAGUGUCUGGUGGGUAGUUUGACUGGGGCGGUCUCCUCCUAAAGAGUAACGGAGGAGCACGAAGGUUGGCUAAUCCUGGUCGGACAUCAGGAGGUUAGUGCAAUGGCAUAAGCCAGCUUGACUGCGAGCGUGACGGCGCGAGCAGGUGCGAAAGCAGGUCAUAGUGAUCCGGUGGUUCUGAAUGGAAGGGCCAUCGCUCAACGGAUAAAAGGUACUCCGGGGAUAACAGGCUGAUACCGCCCAAGAGUUCAUAUCGACGGCGGUGUUUGGCACCUCGAUGUCGGCUCAUCACAUCCUGGGGCUGAAGUAGGUCCCAAGGGUAUGGCUGUUCGCCAUUUAAAGUGGUACGCGAGCUGGGUUUAGAACGUCGUGAGACAGUUCGGUCCCUAUCUGCCGUGGGCGCUGGAGAACUGAGGGGGGCUGCUCCUAGUACGAGAGGACCGGAGUGGACGCAUCACUGGUGUUCGGGUUGUCAUGCCAAUGGCACUGCCCGGUAGCUAAAUGCGGAAGAGAUAAGUGCUGAAAGCAUCUAAGCACGAAACUUGCCCCGAGAUGAGUUCUCCCUGAGACUUAGAGUCUCCUGAAGGAACGUUGAAGACGACGACGUUGAUAGGCCGGGUGUGUAAGCGCAGCGAUGCGUUGAGCUAACCGGUACUAAUGAACCGUGAGG
rnacentral:rRNA from 1 species